AACUGGUCUGAUGAUAGUGGGUUAUCAGAAUUUAUUAUCAUUAGUGCCACUGAAGUUGGUAUACAACCCUCCACUGCUAAAUUUGACUGGCUUAAA
ensembl:misc_RNA Y_RNA Y RNA